GGGAAAAAGUGAGGCUGAAACUACACUGGAGAUUUCAGCCAUUGCUGGCCAGCCACUGAUGUUACUGCACCAGCAGAGGCUGCUUUAGAAAAGACAACUGCCAAAGGCAACAGAUUUCUGAGUGGCAGAUUGGCAGCAGGGGGUCAGUGUCCCCAGGCUGGGUGGCUUUGUGCCUGGAAGGGGAUCAUGCUGCCUGUUAACUGGGGACCUACAGACUGGCAGCUUCACCCUGUCAGUGCCCAGGACACAGGUGAAUGAGCACCAAGUGAAAUAACCCUGAAAGAUCUUAUGAAACAGUCUGUGGAAGAGAGGAUUUGCUUAAAUUUGUGAAGGUCAGGGAAAGCUUCUCUCUACAGGACACAAACCAAGCACUGGUUCUGCACAUGGAUCCAACUGAGAUGAUCAGAUGAUCCUUCCCCUGAGGAAGUGUGGAGAAGGUGUCACCUCCACAACGCUGUCCCCUACCUCCACUGACCUGCAUGGUAAAGUGGUCAUGGGGGCUUCAUUGACUUAAGGGAAUGGGAUCAGGGGAUUCUGCCGCUUUUUGCAGCACUGUCCCUUAUUCUGCUUCUGGAUCUGCUCCUGGCAGAAGGAGAGACAGCUUUAGUUCCAAUUAUAGUUAUACUAGGGUACCUCACCUUUGAUCCCCUCCAUGGCUGCUACUGAACAAGAGGAUCCACUGGGCAGUGUGAUUUGUGCUGAAAUUAUACUGCCAAGAAGGAGCUGCAGCUAUCUUUUGGAACCAGCUCCCGUCUGAGCAGAAAGGGGUUCCCUUUCCCACAGGACCCUGAUAUCUGUUGGACUGGAAAGGAGCAGAGUGUCCAUAAUCUGGCUCACCCUCUCCAACCUACUCCUCCCAGAGGUGGUAUAUCCAAGGAAAGUCCAUGAGAGGAGCCUCCUAGGAGGUUUCCAUUCUUGGUACAUGCAACUGAGGAAGGAGUGCUUCAUGCUUUUGAGAACAAUUCAAUCUGGAUAAUAAGAACGUAUUGAGAGGGGUAAAGGAUUCAUCAAGGAAAGAAAAGAAGCAGAAAUGAAGUAGAGGUGGGUGGACAAGCAACAAUGGCAAGGUGUAUGUGAAACCGAUUUUAAAACUGUUCCUAAAUUACAUCAUAAUGGACGCUGCAGCACAUCCAGCUUCUGGAAACAUACCAAGUUGUCCAAAAAGAAACCAAGCAGGGGAAACCAUAAUGGCACGUGCUUUCUCCUCUUCAUUUGUUCUAGGAGAGAGAACCAGUCUGGAGCAGUUUUGUUACACAAUCAUCUGAUGCAAUUUGUAAGUAUGAAGGACAAAAACCACAUUGUCUAAAAUGAACCUGGGAACACUAAGGUCUCUUCUCCACUGAGUAUACACAUUAAUUCCAAAGAGUGCUAGGAGGAGUUAUCCAUACACAAAAAAGAAGAGAAAAAAACUAGACACCUAGACAUUCCAUUUCAGUCAUUGGAUUCCACUAGCAAUGAGAUAGCAGCUUUCAAUUUCAUAUUAUCAGUGUUACGGAACUGAA